UACCAGGGUUCCAUCAGUAACGGCGAGUGAAGCUGGAAUAGUCCGAACUUUAAAAGAGUAGAAUCUCUAAUGUAGUUCUAAGAUAUAUUGGUACCGGGCAGCCUUCCAUCUAAGUUGACACGGACUUGUCCGACAGAGAGGGUGAAAUUCCCGUAUAGAUUGGAUAGACAGUUCUCAUACUAAUAUAUCUGAGAGUCGAGUUGCUUGGGAUUGCAGCUUUAAGGUGGAGGUAAAUUCCUUCAAAGACUAAAUAUUGUUGGAUGACCGAUAGCGAACAAGUACCGUGAGGGAAAGUUGAAAAGGACUCCGGAAGGAGGAUCAAAAGAGCGUGAAAUUGUACAGAGGGAAACGCUUGGACGCUCCGUAUACCCAGGUGUUAGUCUCUCAAGUUUUACUGGGAUCAAGAUUACAUUUGGAGUAGCCAAUCGCUAUUAGAUUUAAUGCGUGUUGUGAGUUGGAACUAUCAUGGUUUAAUGAGUUUAAUGUUUGCGCAAGCUUCUUUACACCACCAUGGGCAGUUAGUUCCCACGUAUAAGUCGGCAGUAGAGUUUUGUUAUUAGUCUUUAGGAGGUCGAAAGUUGCAAGCAGCGGUACAGAGUUGCAAAAUUCCCGUACUUAGCUACCUUCUAAUGAAGACCUGAGACUCCAAUAAAGCAUCUUAACUAUAAUAUGGCUGAGCAGCGGUCAAGCGACCCGUCUUGAAACACGGACCAAGGAGUCUAACAUGUUAGCAAGUCUUAGGGCCUAGUAACCCCUCAGGCGUAAUGAAAGUGAUUUGAGAUCCGACUCCGACGCGAUUGGNAAGCAGGAUUAGCCAAACUCAUAAACAGUAGUUGUUGAGUUUGCGCAAGAGCAAAUAUGUUGGGACCCGAAAGAUGGUGAACUAUGCCUGAAUAGGGUGAAGCCAGGGGAAACCCUGGUGGAGGCCCGUAGCGAUUCUGACGUGCAAAUCGAUCGUCAAAUU
rnacentral:rRNA from 1 species